GUUUAUGUAGUUUAAAAUAAAACAUUACAUUUUCAAUGUAAAAAUGAGAAAAUAUUCUCCACAAAUA
rnacentral:tRNA from 1 species